GAGUUUGAUCAUGGCUCAGGAUGAACGCUGGCGGCGUGCUUAACACAUGCAAGUCGAACGAGCUGCGCGGACUGAAGUUUUCGGAUGGAUGGCUGCGUACGCGAGUGGCGGACGGGUGAGUAACGCGUGGGGAACCUGCCCCAUUCCGGGGGAUACCAGUUGGAAACGACUGUUAAUACCGCAUAAGCGCACGGUACCGCAUGGUACAGUGUGAAAAACUCCGGUGGAAUGGGAUGGCCCCGCGUCUGAUUAGGCAGUUGGCGGGGUAACGGCCCACCAAACCGACGAUCAGUAGCCGACCUGAGAGGGUGACCGGCCACAUUGGGACUGAGACACGGCCCAAACUCCUACGGGAGGCAGCAGUGGGGAAUAUUGCACAAUGGGGGAAACCCUGAUGCAGCGACGCCGCGUGAGUGAAGAAGUAUUUCGGUAUGUAAAGCUCUAUCAGCAGGGAAGAAGAUGACGGUACCUGCACAAGAAGCCCCGGCUAACUACGUGCCAGCAGCCGCGGUAAUACGUAGGGGGCAAGCGUUAUCCGGAUUUACUGGGUGUAAAGGGAGCGCAGACGGAAGGCCAAGUCAGGUGUGAAAGGCAUGGGCUCAACCCAUGGACUGCACUUGAAACUGGUCAUCUCGAGUAUCGGAGGGGCAGGCGGAAUUCCUGGUGUAGCGGUGAAAUGCGUAGAUAUCAGGAAGAACAUCGGUGGCGAAGGCGGCCUGCUGGACGAUAACUGACGUUGAGGCUCGAAAGCGUGGGGAGCAAACAGGAUUAGAUACCCUGGUAGUCCACGCAGUAAACGAUGAAUACUAGGUGCUGGUUCCCACAGGGAAUCGGUGCCGCCGCUAACGCAUUAAGUAUUCCACCUGGGGAGUACGUUCGCAAGAAUGAAACU
rnacentral:rRNA from 1 species